rnacentral:rRNA from 2 species
UUAAGUUAUUAAGGGCGCACGGUGGAUGCCUUGGCACUAGAAGCCGAUGAAGGACGUUACUAACGACGAUAUGCUUUGGGGAGCUGUAAGUAAGCUUUGAUCCAGAGAUUUCCGAAUGGGGAAACCCAGCAUGAGUUAUGUCAUGUUAUCGAUAUGUGAAUACAUAGCAUAUCAGAAGGCACACCCGGAGAACUGAAACAUCUUAGUACCCGGAGGAAGAGAAAGAAAAUUCGAUUCCCUUAGUAGCGGCGAGCGAAACGGGAAGAGCCCAAACCAACAAGCUUGCUUGUUGGGGUUGUAGGACACUCUAUACGGAGUUACAAAGGACGACAUUAGACGAAUCAUCUGGAAAGAUGAAUCAAAGAAGGUAAUAAUCCUGUAGUCGAAAAUGUUGUCUCUCUUGAGUGGAUCCUGAGUACGACGGAGCACGUGAAAUUCCGUCGGAAUCUGGGAGGACCAUCUCCUAAGGCUAAAUACUCUCUAGUGACCGAUAGUGAACCAGUACCGUGAGGGAAAGGUGAAAAGCACCCCGGAAGGGGAGUGAAAUAGAACCUGAAACCGUGUGCUUACAAGUAGUCAGAGCCCGUUAAUGGGUGAUGGCGUGCCUUUUGUAGAAUGAACCGGCGAGUUACGAUUUGAUGCAAGGUUAAGCAGUAAAUGUGGAGCCGUAGCGAAAGCGAGUCUGAAUAGGGCGUUUAGUAUUUGGUCGUAGACCCGAAACCAGGUGAUCUACCCUUGGUCAGGUUGAAGUUCAGGUAACACUGAAUGGAGGACCGAACCGACUUACGUUGAAAAGUGAGCGGAUGAACUGAGGGUAGCGGAGAAAUUCCAAUCGAACCUGGAGAUAGCUGGUUCUCUCCGAAAUAGCUUUAGGGCUAGCCUCAAGUGAUGAUUAUUGGAGGUAGAGCACUGUUUGGACGAGGGGCCCCUCUCGGGUUACCGAAUUCAGACAAACUCCGAAUGCCAAUUAAUUUAACUUGGGAGUCAGAACAUGGGUGAUAAGGUCCGUGUUCGAAAGGGAAACAGCCCAGACCACCAGCUAAGGUCCCAAAAUAUAUGUUAAGUGGAAAAGGAUGUGGCGUUGCCCAGACAACUAGGAUGUUGGCUUAGAAGCAGCCAUCAUUUAAAGAGUGCGUAAUAGCUCACUAGUCGAGUGACACUGCGCCGAAAAUGUACCGGGGCUAAACAUAUUACCGAAGCUGUGGAUUGUCCUUUGGACAAUGGUAGGAGAGCGUUCUAAGGGCGUUGAAGCAUGAUCGUAAGGACAUGUGGAGCGCUUAGAAGUGAGAAUGCCGGUGUGAGUAGCGAAAGACGGGUGAGAAUCCCGUCCACCGAUUGACUAAGGUUUCCAGAGGAAGGCUCGUCCGCUCUGGGUUAGUCGGGUCCUAAGCUGAGGCCGACAGGCGUAGGCGAUGGAUAACAGGUUGAUAUUCCUGUACCACCUAUAAUCGUUUUAAUCGAUGGGGGGACGCAGUAGGAUAGGCGAAGCGUGCGAUUGGAUUGCACGUCUAAGCAGUAAGGCUGAGUAUUAGGCAAAUCCGGUACUCGUUAAGGCUGAGCUGUGAUGGGGAGAAGACAUUGUGUCUUCGAGUCGUUGAUUUCACACUGCCGAGAAAAGCCUCUAGAUAGAAAAUAGGUGCCCGUACCGCAAACCGACACAGGUAGUCAAGAUGAGAAUUCUAAGGUGAGCGAGCGAACUCUCGUUAAGGAACUCGGCAAAAUGACCCCGUAACUUCGGGAGAAGGGGUGCUCUUUAGGGUUAACGCCCAGAAGAGCCGCAGUGAAUAGGCCCAAGCGACUGUUUAUCAAAAACACAGGUCUCUGCUAAACCGUAAGGUGAUGUAUAGGGGCUGACGCCUGCCCGGUGCUGGAAGGUUAAGAGGAGUGGUUAGCUUCUGCGAAGCUACGAAUCGAAGCCCCAGUAAACGGCGGCCGUAACUAUAACGGUCCUAAGGUAGCGAAAUUCCUUGUCGGGUAAGUUCCGACCCGCACGAAAGGCGUAACGAUUUGGGCACUGUCUCAACGAGAGACUCGGUGAAAUCAUAGUACCUGUGAAGAUGCAGGUUACCCGCGACAGGACGGAAAGACCCCGUGGAGCUUUACUGUAGCCUGAUAUUGAAAUUCGGCACAGCUUGUACAGGAUAGGUAGGAGCCUUUGAAACGUGAGCGCUAGCUUACGUGGAGGCGCUGGUGGGAUACUACCCUAGCUGUGUUGGCUUUCUAACCCGCACCACUUAUCGUGGUGGGAGACAGUGUCAGGCGGGCAGUUUGACUGGGGCGGUCGCCUCCUAAAAGGUAACGGAGGCGCUCAAAGGUUCCCUCAGAAUGGUUGGAAAUCAUUCAUAGAGUGUAAAGGCAUAAGGGAGCUUGACUGCGAGACCUACAAGUCGAGCAGGGUCGAAAGACGGACUUAGUGAUCCGGUGGUUCCGCAUGGAAGGGCCAUCGCUCAACGGAUAAAAGCUACCCCGGGGAUAACAGGCUUAUCUCCCCCAAGAGUUCACAUCGACGGGGAGGUUUGGCACCUCGAUGUCGGCUCAUCGCAUCCUGGGGCUGUAGUCGGUCCCAAGGGUUGGGCUGUUCGCCCAUUAAAGCGGUACGCGAGCUGGGUUCAGAACGUCGUGAGACAGUUCGGUCCCUAUCCGUCGUGGGCGUAGGAAAUUUGAGAGGAGCUGUCCUUAGUACGAGAGGACCGGGAUGGACAUACCUCUGGUGUACCAGUUGUCGUGCCAACGGCAUAGCUGGGUAGCUAUGUGUGGACGGGAUAAGUGCUGAAAGCAUCUAAGCAUGAAGCCCCCCUCAAGAUGAGAUUUCCCAACUUCGGUUAUAAGAUCCCUCAAAGAUGAUGAGGUUAAUAGGUUCGA